AUGCCUCCCAAGCUCGACCCGUCCCAGAUCGUGGAGGUGUAUGUCCGCGUCACCGGCGGGGAGGUCGGCGCUGCGUCGUCCCUGGCCCCCAAGAUCGGCCCGCUCGGUCUCUCCCCAAAGAAGAUCGGAGAAGACAUCGCCAAGGAGACGGCCAAGGACUGGAAGGGCCUCCGCGUCACCGUCAAGCUCACCGUGCAGAAUCGCCAGGCCAAGGUGUCCGUCGUCCCCUCCGCCGCAGCCCUCGUCAUCAAGGCGCUCAAGGAGCCCGAGAGGGACCGCAAGAAGGUCAAGAACAUCAAGCACAGCGGCAACAUCAGCCUCGACGACGUCAUCGAGAUCGCCAAGAUCAUGAAGGUCCGCUCCAUGGCCAAGGAGAUGGCCGGCACCGUCAAGGAGAUCCUUGGCACCUGCGUCAGCGUCGGCUGCACCGUCGACGGCAAGGACCCCAAGGAUCUGCAGACGGAGAUCGACGACGGCGAGGUGGAGAUCCCCGCUUAA
rnacentral:rRNA from 1 species